GUUCUUUCCCAGGAAGCCUUUUUAACCGAGGACACACCCCUGUGGCGGAAGAGGCAGGAAAAUUGUCCAAAAAAAUACGGUUUUAAGACAAGCCCAGAGCAGCACAGGUGCUGAAGCCAGCUUAUCAACUGUCCUCUAAGUAUGGCUGGGAUUCAGGUUGCCUUGGGAGGUUGUUAGGUACUCAACCUGAAGUCCUGCGGUGUUGAGAUCUCUCUGAGGGACAAUUGCCAGUGUGUAAGUUAGUUGACAAUCUUUCCCGUAGAGAAGAUGACCGUUUUCUCUGGAACAUCAACUGGAUUGAAAUACUUGACAUUUAAAGCUUUCACUUUUACAGUGUUGCCAGAACAUAUUUUAAAGAAUUACUAUAUUUAGAACAUUUAUAGUGGUUAC